rnacentral:rRNA from 1 species
UACCCGCAGCACAAGUGGUGGUCAUUAUUAUUGGGCCUAAAGCGUCCGUAGCUGGCUUGUUAGAUGCCUGGGUAAAUCGAUGCGCUCAACGCAUCGAACUCCGGGUAGACCGGCAAGCUUGGGACCGGGAGAGGCGUGAGCUACUCGAGGGGUAGGGGUAAAAUCCUGUAAUCCUUCGGGGAGGACCAGUGGCGAAGGCGUCACGCUAGAACGGCUCCGACAGUGAGGGACGGAGCCCUGGGGCGCAAACCGG